rnacentral:rRNA from 1 species
AGUAACGCGUAGGUAAUCUACCCUUAUAUUUGGGAUAACAUUGGGAAACUGGUGCUAAUACCGAAUGGUCUUCUUUGCUGCUGGGCAAAGAAGUAAAGGUGGCCUCUUCAUGAAAGCUACCGUGUAGGGAUGAGCCUGCGUACCAUUAGCUAGUAGGUGGGGUAACGGCCCACCUAGGCUACGAUGGUUAGCGGGUCUGAGAGGAUGAUCCGCCACACUGGAACUGGAACACGGACCAG